CCUACNGGUGGCAGCAGUGGGGAAUAUUGCACAAUGGGCGCAAGCCUGAUGCAGCCAUGCCGCGUGUAUGAAGAAGGCCCUAGGGUUGUAAAGUACUUUCAGUCGGGANGAAGGCGUUGAUNCUANUAUCAUCAACGAUUGACGUUACCGACAGAAGAAGCACCGGCUAACUCCGUGCCAGCAGCCGCGGUAAUACGGAGGGUGCAAGCGUUAAUCGGAAUUACUGGGCGUAAAGCGCACGCAGGCGGUUGAUUAAGUUAGAUGUGAAAUCCCCGGGCUUAACCUGGGAAUGGCAUCUAAGACUGGUCAGCUAGAGUCUUGUAGAGGGGGGUAGAAUUCCAUGUGUAGCGGUGAAAUGCGUAGAGAUGUGGAGGAAUACCGGUGGCGAAGGCGGCCCCCUGGACGAAGACUGACGCUCAGGUGCGAAAGCGUGGGGAGCAAACAGGAUUAGAUACCCCAGUAGUC
rnacentral:rRNA from 1 species